rnacentral:rRNA from 1 species
UACGUAGGGUGCGAGCGUUAAUCGGAAUUACUGGGCGUAAAGCGUGCGCAGGCGGCUUUGCAAGACAGGUGUGAAAUCCCCGGGCUCAACCUGGGAACUGCAUUUGUGACUGCAAGGCUAGAGUACGGCAGAGGGGGAUGGAAUUCCGCGUGUAGCAGUGAAAUGCGUAGAUAUGCGGAGGAACACCGAUGGCGAAGGCAAUCCCCUGGGCCUGUACUGACGCUCAUGCACGAAAGCGUGGGGAGCAAACAGG